rnacentral:rRNA from 1 species
UACGUAGGGUGCAAGCGUUGUCCGGAAUUAUUGGGCGUAAAGAGCUCGUAGGCGGUCUGUCGCGUCGGCUGUGAAAACCCGGGGCUCAACCCCGGGCCUGCAGUCGAUACGGGCAGACUAGAGUGUGGUAGGGGAGACUGGAAUUCCUGGUGUAGCGGUGAAAUGCGCAGAUAUCAGGAGGAACACCGGUGGCGAAGGCGGGUCUCUGGGCCAUAACUGACGCUGAGGAGCGAAAGCGCGGGGAGCGAACAGG